rnacentral:rRNA from 1 species
GUCCACGCCGUAAACGUUUGGCACUAGGUGUGGGUCUCAACCAACGAGAUCCGCGCCGUCGCUAACGCAUUAAGUGCCCCGCCUGUGGAGUACGGUCGCAAGACUAAAACUCAAAGGAAUUGACGGGGCCCGCACAAGCAGCGGAGCGUGUUGCUUAAUUCGAUGCAACGCGAAGAACCUUACCUGGGUUUGACAUGUCCGGAAAAGCUCUAGAGAUAGGGUGUCCUUCGGGGCCGGACACAGGUGGUGCAUGGCUGUCGU